rnacentral:misc_RNA from 1 species
GAUGAAGAACGCAGCAAAAUGCGAUACUUGGUGUGAAUUGCAGAAUCCCGUGAACCAUCGAGUUUUUGAACGCAAGUUGCGCCCGAAGCCUUUUGGCCGAGGGCACGUCUGCCUGGCGUCACGCAUCGCGUCGCCCCCCACAAUUCUCUGUAAAGGGAACAUGUGUUUUGGGGGCGGAUAUUGGUCUCCCGUGCUCAUGGCGUGGUUGGCCGAAAUAGGAGUCCUUUCGAUGGACGCACGAACUAGUGGUGGUCGUAAAAACCCUCGUCUUUUGUUUCGUGCUGUUGCUCGCAAGGUAAACUCUUUAAAAACCCCAAUGUGUCGUCUCUUGACGGCGCUUCGACCGCGACCCCAGGUCAGGCGGGACUACCCGCUGAGUUUAAGCAUAUCAAUAAGCGGAGGA